AUUGAACGCUGGCGGCAGGCUUAACACAUGCCAGUCGAACGAGUGGCGUACGGGUGAGUAAUGAUUGGGAAUCUGGCCUAUGGCGGGGGAUAACGACGGGAAACUGUCGCUAACACCGCGUACCAUAGGAUGAGCCCAAGUGGGAUUAGGUAGUUGGUGGGGUCAUGGCCUACCAAGCCGACGAUCUAUAGCUUGUCUGAGAGGAUGAACGACCACAAUGGGACUGAGACACGGCUCAGAACCCUACGGGAGGCAGCAGGGGGGAAUAUUCCGCAAUGGACGAAAGUCUGACGGAGCAACGCCGCGUGAGUGAUGACGGCCUGCGGGUUGUAAAGCUCGUUAAGCGGGACGACGGUACCGGAAUAGAAAGCCACGGCUAACUACGUGCCAGCAGCCGCGGUAAUUC
rnacentral:rRNA from 1 species